UACGGGGGGGGCAAGCGUUGUUCGGAAUUACUGGGCGUAAAGGGCGCGUAGGCGGCCUGCUAAGUCACACGUGAAAUCCCUCGGCUCAACCGAGGAACUGCGUGUGAUACUGGCGGGCUCGAAUUCGGGAGAGGGAUGUGGAAUUCCAGGUGUAGCGGUGAAAUGCGUAGAUAUCUGGAGGAACACCGGUGGCGAAGGCGGCAUCCUGGACCGACAUUGACGCUGAUGCGCGAAAGCUAGGGUAGCAAACGGGA
rnacentral:rRNA from 1 species